AACCCAGUGCUCCAUGUUGGCACUGAGACCUCUACUGCCUGCUUCUCAACCUUUGGGGUAGAGAGGUUGGCAGCUCCUCUAUGGUGACCCAAGUGAUUACCCUUUUUGGAUCCUCCCAAUGUUCUUGACCUCAAAGCUCAUCACACCCCAGAGCAGCCCUCUAUCUUUUCAGUUUAGUACAACCUCAGAACCAUGGUUUUCUCUUCAUGGUGACCCUAGGUUUCUUCCAUCCUUCAGAGAUGCUUCCAAGUUCCUGGACCUUUUAAGGUACCCCUUCUAGUUUUUUAGUGCAUCUGUGGAUGAUGAUGUUGAUGGUAGUGGUGGUGGUGAUGAUGAUUGUGAUGAUGAUGGUGAUGGUGGUGGUGGUGGUGGUGAUGGUGGUGGUGGUGGUGAUGGUGGUGGUGAUGAUGGUGGUGGUGAUGAUGAUGGUGGUGGUAGUGGUGGUGAUGAUGUUGGUGGUGAUUGUGGUGGUGGUGGUGAUGAUGGUGGUGGUGGUGAUGGUGGUGGUAGUGGUGGUGGUGGUGAUGGUGAUGAUGAUGAUGAUGGUAAUGAUAAUAUUGAUGAUGAUUAUAUCUCUUUGGCCAACUUGAUUCUUUUUCUUUGUUUUUUGUUUGUUUGUUUGCUUGCUUGUUUGUUUGCUUUUUUGGGCUGCAACCACAGCAUGUGGAAAUUCCCAGGCUAGGGGUCAAAUCAGAGCUCCAGCUGCUGGCCUACACCACAGCCAACAGCAAAGUGGGAUCCAAGCUGCAUCUAUGACUGACACCAAAGCUCACAACAACACCAGAUCCUUAACCCACUGAGUGAGGCCAGGGAUGGAACCUUCCUCUUCAUGGAUACUAGUCAGGUCUGCUACCACUGAGCCACAACAGGAACUCCUCCUUUCUCUCCUUGAAUAAAACCAAGCACUAAUGUUUUCCAGUGACAGGAGAAUUUCUACAUGGAGCUCAGGCAUGAUGCAGCUCAGGCUUCCUUACUGCAUUCCUUCCUAUUCCAUCUCACUUGCUUUCUGAGAUUGCUUUGGGCUUAUGGACUCCACAUUGCGGGAAGCUCACUGAGGCUGCAGCCCUAUGGCAGCUGCCUCCUUGGUGAGGCAGCUCUGGUUAUUCUGGCCUUUCCAGUUCAGUUCCUGCUCAGCCCUUUGAAGAACUCCUUUGCUGUUCAGUCCUGCUGCUGCUUCUCUGCGCCUCUGGUCAAUGUAUCCAGCUGGACCCUGGCAGCUCUCUCCUCCCUGCUAACUGUUAUUGGCCUUUGUUGCCUUUGCCAUAACCAUUAAACUAGUAUGAGGUGGGUUUUUGGCACCUACCCCUAAUUUUUCCUUAAAAAUAUUCCAUGGACAUUCCCUGAGUAGUGGUUAAAGAUCUGGUGUUGUUGGAGUUCCCGUCGUGGCUCAGCAGAAACAAAUCUGACUAAUAUCCAUGAGGAUGCAGGUUUGAUCCCUGGCCUUGCUCAGCUGGUUAAGGAUCCGGCGUUGCCAUGAGCUGUGGUGUAGGUGGCAGAUGCAGCUCCAAUCCUGCAUUGCUAUGGCUGUGGCAUAGGCCAGCAGCUGCAGCUCUGAUUUGACUCCUAGCCUGGGAACCUCCAUAUGCCUGGGUCUGGCCCUAAAAAGGAAAAAAAAAAAGAAAGAAAUAGAUCUGGUGUUGUCACUUCUGUGGCUCAGGUCACUGCUGUGACAUGAGUUAAAUUUCCUGCCCCGGAACUACUGCAUGCCGCAGGUGCAGCAAAUAAAAUAAAUAAAAAAGCUCCAUGGAGGUAGAAAUGUAUUCUCCAUCACAGACCAUGUUGAGGCCAUUUCUACUCUGGCCUUUAAAGAACCACAUGCAGAAGCCAGGCAGUUCCAAUCCACUGCUGGUCAACACAGCACUUGGUACCCUGGGUGUGAACAGGGAUUUAUCCCAGGACGAAUCACAGAAAUCAGAUCUCAGUGCUGGGACAGAAAAGCUGAACCAGCAACAAGAGAACCUGACCCUGACUUGCCUGGACACUUAGAUGUGGGUCCUCACUCAGUGGAGCUCAGAGCCCAGAGCCUAGGGUGGGUGCCCUGCAGGUGGAGGACAAAUGGGAGAGGAUGAUGGGGAGAGAUCAAGUAAAAGGUUCCAUCCUUUCCACCAGAAGGAUUAUUACAGAGCCCGCUGACCUGGAGGGCAAUUCACAUUCAGCCAUUAUGCCCUGAAGGGAACAGUCCUCUAGCCCAGGACAUUUCCAAUACAGGACUUGGAGACAUGUCACUGGUGACUGAUGUCAUCUCAAAGCAGGUACGUAAGCAGGAUGUAAGUAAGGCAAGAGUGUGGAGCAUGCAGGUGAAGGUGGACACGUGAGUCUGGGCACAGGACCUGCCCCUUGGGGAAGUGGAGGCAGGUGACGGCCAGGUAGUCUGAUUCAUGCAGCACUGGGAAGACUGCUCUACCUCCCUCAUGACUGAAAAUUCCUGGAAGUCCACCCCCAGGCUCUUCUUUGCAAAAUGUCCUUAUUUCCACAAGGUGUCACAGGAAGUCCCUGACACAUGCAUGAUACCUCAUCACACUGUAUCCUCCUGAUGAGCAGGAGGGAACUAGGGAGAGGUGGGGGUACCAAGAAGGGCCGCAGAGGCCGGAAGUAGAGAACAGGGAGAUGCCCAGGGGAGGAGGAAGCCCUGCCGUCAAAUCUAACCACUGCACCAUCACCUGCUCCCUAACAGCGCAUUUACGUGAGGUCGUUUGCUUUACAAGGGGACUUUGGUCUGGCUGACUUUAUGUGGAUACUCCUGAUCUGCCCUCCCCAUGCAGGCAGUGCUGCAGUAUGAGAGGAAACUCCCCCUUGGGUUAGCGUCACUGCCUUCCUGGGAGAGUUCAACAUGUUUAUCUUAGGCUUGAGGUUGUAAUUAUGAUUGAGCAGAACGCAGCUUCGGAAUGUCUCUUUCUUCGUUUCAUGUAAAUUAAGUUGCUGGUGCCUGUGGGAAUGCGUGUGUCUCUCUUCCUAAGGGGAACUGGAGAAUUCAUUAGUUAUUGACUAGGAAGUGCUCUGCAGAUAAAAAGCUCUCCGGAAAUGCGAGUUAUUAUUAUUAGGUGCCUUCUGUUUAUAAAUCAUCCUUAAUGGGUUGUUCAGUAUUAUUCUGUUUUGCUUUGUAUGAGAACUGGCUUCGAACCCCAAGUUCAGCAGUGGCCAAUACACACGCCCAACCAAGGAGUUCUUGUCAUAGCUCAGUGGUUAAUGAAUCCAACUAGGAACCAUGAGGUUGCAGGUUCUAUCCCUGGCCUCAUUCAGUAGGUUAAGGAUCCGGCGUUGCCGUAAGCUGUGGUGUAGGUCGCAGACGCAGCUCAGAUCUGGUGUUGCUGUGGCUCUGGCGUAGGCCGGCAGCAACUGCUCCGAUUGGACCCCUAGCCUGGGAAU
rnacentral:lncRNA from 1 species